UAAAUAUUGGGGAAACACGGAUAGGAUAAACAUGAUUGUUUAUGUAGCUUUUGUCCUUGAUCCUCGAUAUAAGAUUACAACUUUGUCAUAUUGGUUAAAAAGGUGCAAAGGGGAUGAAUACAAAGAUAUAAUUGAGGCCAAAGUAAGAUUGCUCAUGAAUCGUUUAAUCGAGCAAUACCACAAGUUUUAUGGGCUAGGUAGUGGAAGAUCAAAUAUGGCUCAUAGAAGUUCCUCAAGUAUUAUUGGUGAUGACCUGGACUGUGAAGAUUUUGAUACAGCUCUAGAGCAAUAUGUUGAGAAGUAAAACAGUUCAGUACUUAGCUCGGACAUGGAUAGGUAUUUGUCGGAUGUGAUUGAACCAAAAAUACCCGAGUUUGAUAUUUUGGAUUGGUGGAAGAAGAACUCAUUUAGAUAUUGCAUCCUUGCGGAGAUCACACGUGAUGUAUUGGGCAUCCCUAUUUUCACUGUCGCAUCCGAGUCCGCAUUCAGCACUGGUGGACAUGUAAUAGACCCAUAUUGAAGCUCAUUAGCUCUAGAGACUAUCCAAGCACUAAUUUGCACGCAAAAUUGGUUGACUUGUGAACCACUUAGUUCUUGGGAGGUCGAGGAGCAUGUAGAACGCGUUGACAUCGAAGGUAACCCUCUUCUUUCAACUGCAGCAACUUAAGCAUAUGGACUCCCACCCUAUGCAUAGAAAACUCUCCUUAUGCAGUAAGUUAUAGGAACCAUGCCAUAUUUAAUUUAACCAGAUCAUGAGUUUCUUAGUUCUUUGUAUUAAUAUUUGUGUGUUUUGGUUUGUUGCAGCUAUUGCUAACACACUUGGUAAAUAUGUGCUUAAAAAUGUUCAUCAGCUUAUGGAGACUCAGUCCAGUAGAAAAUUUUCCAAAAUGG